rnacentral:tRNA from 10 species
GGGUCGAUGCCCGAGCGGUUAAUGGGGACGGACUGUAAAUCCGUUGACAAUAUGUCUACGCUGGUUCAAAUCCAGCUCGGCCCA